rnacentral:rRNA from 1 species
AUUGAACGCUGGCGGCAGGCAUAACACAUGCAAGUCGAACGAGUGGCGGACGGGUGAGUAAUGUCUGGGAAACUGCCUGAUGGAGGGGGAUAAAUACUGGAAACGGUAGCUAAUACCGCAUACCAUCAGAUGUGCCCAGAUGGGAUUAGCUAGGAGGUGGGGUAAUGGCUCAACGAGGCGACGAUCCCUAGCUGGUCUGAGAGGAUGACCGUCCACACUGUAACUGAGACACGGUCCAGACUCCUACGGGAGGCAGCAGUGGGGAAUAGUGCACAAUGGGCGCAAGCCUGAUGCAGCCAUGCCGCGUGUAUGAAGAAGGCCUGAGGGUUGUAAAGUACUUUCAGCGGGGAGGCGUUACCCGCAGAAGAAGCACCGGCUAACUCCGUGCCAGCAGCCGCGGUAAUAC